rnacentral:lncRNA from 1 species
AGAAGGUGGGUAGAGACAAAAGGUUCGGAUUCGUGCAUAUAGAUGGUGAUGUUUGUGGUUUGAUCCGCUGAUCUUUGUAUUUGCAAAUAAUGCUUGCGUGAUGGAUGCUGAUGCUUUGGGCAGAUAAAAGUAGGCAUGAUGAGUUUCAAAUCAGUCAAUUGAGUACUGCUGUACUAAAACCAGAAUUAAACGGCUCUAUUAGAAUAAUAUUUGAUUAGGGAUUAGCCCACUUUACAAGUUGGGAUAAAAUCAUUUGUCUUUUUGGGGCAAGGCAUUAUAAAUUAUAUCAUCUAUUCUACAACCGAAAAGUGAUCAAUUGAAUGUAAGAUGGAAGAUUUUGAUGGAUGGAACUCUCAAAUGCGCAUGACAAGGAACUUAGGAAAUGCACUACACAUGGCGUUAUUCACAUAUUGAUAGGCCUAACAGGAGGAAAGCCUAGUCACUUUUGGCAAUUUCCAUGUCCAUAUGGGGCCAUCACUGCUGUCCAAUCUAACACGUGGACGACUAUGAUGACUUGAGAGGUCUAAUAUAAGUGUGUGAUCAAUCAAAUGUGAUUGCCGUAAGCAAUUGAGUUAAGUACGAUGCCACCGCUACCGUGAAGAAGUCAAGCUUACAAUUCUUUUGUUUUUCUUUUUCGGGUAUAAAAGCAAAAUGGUAUUUGAAUUGAGCCACUGUUAAUACAUAUAUAUUUAUAUGAGCUACUGUUACAUUUUAAACGAUGAUUUUAAGGACUCUCUUGCCCAGAUAUCACAUUUAAAAAUGUGGGGUAAAUAUUGAUCAUCCAAAUCGAAUCUGAACAUAAUCAAUUAACUGUUAUUGUCUCAAAAUUCAAUUAAUCAACUAAAAUAUUAUGAUA